UCAGACUCCCUAGGUAAUUGAGGAUAAGCAUAGACUCCUGAUUGUCUUGCCUCACCCCAUGAGAUCUAGGAUGCCUUAGCCUUGACAGUUAUAACACGAUCCGCCUCUAGUUCUCUCUGCUUCCUGUUCUGUCAAGAUGUGAAGAGCUACAGCCAUGCCAGCAAGCUGCCUCAUGCUCUGCAAACGCAGCCAUGAAACGUGGCCACCUCCAUGCCUUCCUUUCCAUGAUGGACCUGCGAACUGUGAACCAAAGCCUU
rnacentral:lncRNA from 1 species